rnacentral:rRNA from 1 species
UACGGGGGGAGCAAGCGUUGUUCGGAUUUACUGGGCGUAAAGGGCGCGUAGGCGGUCAGCACAAGUCAGUUGUGAAAUCUCGGAGCUUAACUCCGAAACUGCAUUCGAUACUGCCGUGCUUGAGGACUGGAGAGGAGACUGGAAUUUACGGUGUAGCGGUGAAAUGCGUAGAUAUCGUAAGGAAGACCAGUGGCGAAGGCGGGUCUCUGGACAGUUCCUGACGCUGAGGCACGAAGGUCAGGGGAGCAAACGGG